CAGGCUCUAGGUCAUGUGGGCUUCAGUAGUUGUGGCACAUGGGCUUAGUUGCCCCUGGGCAUGUAGGAUCUUCCCAUAGAAUGUAGGAUUUUCCCACAGUGGGGAUUGAACUGGUGUCCCCUGCAUUGGCAGGUGGAUUCUCAACCACUGGACCACCAGGGAAGCCCUGCCAGUUUCCUUUCCUAACACGUGCCCUCUGACAAGCCAAACUUCAGCGCUGUGAGGGUAGGAGCUCUGGGGUUAUGGCUCCAAUGGAGCUUCGUUUUGGAUAAUAGGUUCCAAAUCCCUAAUGAUAAACAGGUAGCCACAAAAAUCUCCAGCGAACAUUUGCUCAUUUCUAAAUCAGAUAGAUUUAGAAGUUUUGCCUUGCCCGGAAGGAUGGGAACCAACCAGGUUGUAUGAAUAGUUUUGUCAUAAUUUCCUGAUUGAUUUUCCUUUUUUUUUUCCUGCCAUUGACUACUGGUGUUAACUUUAUUCCUACUGCCUUUUAUUAGUAGGAUGUCUUUGACAAAGUGAGUGACCCUCUGUUCCCCAGACACUUGGAGGAAGCUAGACACUGACAAUCAUCUGGUCCUGAACUAAGCGUGCAAAGGAUUCUGCCUGGUUCAGGUGCCAGCCCUCACUCUUCCUACAGAGCCAUCUGAUUGAUGGCUUUCAGAUGGAUGGAUAAGUUUAAAAAGGAAAGGAAAAAAAAAAUUUUUUUUCCUUCUCCUUGCAUGAUAAACAAAAUUAUUCAUCAUUAACAACAAUUUAAGAAGAAAAGCAGUGAGGUCUGAAAUAUUCUCCCAAAGAGCAGCUGCUCAUCGAUGGUUAGAGAACGCUUCUGAACCAGAAAACAGUGUAACUCUCAUUCAGGCAGGAUUCCAACUUUGCCUUUUCCCUUCCUCCCAUUUUCGACCUAAGUAACAGGAAUCUUACUGUUAAAAAAGGUGGAGUUGAUUUAUAGGAACUGAGAAGGAACUGUAGGACUGAAAGGUGUCUAGCCCAGGCUGAAAACUGGGGGCUGGUGUGAGGGGAAGGCCCUGGAUCUCUGACUGCCCUUUUACUUCACUCUUCAGCAUAGACAGGCUUCCACAGAAGGGAGUUCAGCAGUUUGUAACUAUGGUUUCUUUUUUUUUUUUUAACUAUGGUUUCUUAAUUGGUUUAGAGCUGACAACUUAAGUGAUUGGUCUAAAAACAAGGUGAAACUAUUUACCAAAAAAAAAAUUUGGUAUUAGUUUCCAAAGCUACCUUUUUAAUAUAAAUUUAACUUAGGCAAUGGAUGUAUCAGUCCUAAAUUUGAAACCAAGAGUCUUGGGUGCUAUCUUUAUCCAUGCUGUGGCUUACUUAAAUUAGUCAAAUGACCUCUUAGUAUUCCAGUUCCCUUUCAGAAAUGAGACUAACCAUAGCAAAAAUUCUAUUGGCCAAAAAUGCUGAUCUGUUUCCUUUGACCCUGGGAACUCCCAAGGAACUCCAGUUAAGACUUCCUCAAAUCAGUAAAAUUUAUGAGUUGAGAGAACCUUUCUUAUCACCCUUAACUUUCUUCCUUCCUCUUGUCCUUAAUGAAACAGAAAGAGCAAUAUUUACUGCUAAACAUUAGUGGCAGAGAAGGGCAAUUCCCAACAGGGCAAAAAGGUCAUGACUGGGUAUAUCCAGAGAAGGUUGGGUUGGAGCCAGGGAGAUAAGGUAAGUGACUGCCGCUGUCUCUCCUGGCUCAGGGCUUGGCAAGAUCAGUGCUGGAAUGGCACAGGCUUGCGUCCAGUACCUGCUCCAGAAAUAGGCUCUGGAUGGAGCAUAGCAAGUAAACAAACAUCUUACCAGCUGUUGCCGAGGUGUGUUCCUGUCAGGCAGCCCUGCCCACCAGGACUGUUGUGGGAAGAGGAAAGAUGUCCUGGAGCUACUCCCUGGCCUUGCCUUGGAAUGAGUCCCCCAAAGUUAGGAACAGCUCCAACCACAUAAAGCGGCUGAUAUUUUCCUGAAAAUUCCAAACUCUCCCAACCAGCUUUGGCCCUACCUCAGUUAUAACAUUCAAGACAGGACCCUGCCGUAGCUAGCUCAGGCUUGUGGGAGGGCUGUUUACUUGUACCUAGUGGGCUAUUUAAGGCACAGAUUCAUUUCUCUAACCAAUAUUUGUUGAGCCCCUGCCAUGCUUCAAGCACUGCGCACAGUGGGGAAUAAAAUAAAACUAUCUUCCCACGUGAGUCGAUGGAGGGGGUGAUGCAGCCUGGUUAACUGGUGCUGGAGGGCCUCAGCAUAGGCACAGAAUACUUUGAGAGCAUAUGGGAAGGAGAGAUGAGAGCCCUAGGCCAGUUAGGUGGGAGGUAGGAGGAAGAGCAAGUUAGGGAAGCUGAGUCCAGGAAAAAGAAUAGCAGCUGGAGCGAUGAGAGGCGUAAGAGCCUGGUGGCGGAGAAAAGUCCCAGAAGAGGAAAACAGCAAGUACAAAAGGCCAAAGAAAGUUUGGAUACUGGCUAGUGGUUCAGGGUAGCUGGCGUAUAAAGGACAAGGGAGGCAGCAUCAAAGGUGAGGUUGGAAAUUAAUAAACAAGGCCAGGUGUGAAGGGCUUAUAAGCCAUGUUCAGGAGUUUGGAAUUUAUUUGGGGAGUAACAGGGAUCUAAAGGGUCAUUUGAAGAGGGGCAGUGACAGGAUCAGAAUUGCAUCUAGAAAGAUGGUUAUAGCUGCCAUGGGUUUGACAUGUUUAAAUUGAUAGAGGUCUCGCUCAGUCACGUCCGACUCUUUGUGACCCCAUGGAAGGUAGCCUACCAGGCUCCACCGUCCAUGGGAUUUUCCAGGCAAGAAUACUGGAGUGGGCUGCCAUUUCCUUCUCCAGGGGAUCUUCCCAACCCAGGGAUUGAACCCGGGUUUCCUGCAUUGCAGACAGACGCUUUACCGUCUGAGCCACCAGGGAAGCCUAAAUUGAUGAGGGGAACACAAAUUCACACUUGGCAAUGAUCUGUCGACAUGAAAUAAUGCAAUCAGAUGGCUUUGUGGUUUUUCUGUGUUUUUAUUUUCUAGCUUGGUUUCUUUGAAGUUAUUUUUUCACUACUCUAGAACAAAUAGAAUCAUGUACUGCAGCUUGUAUUUUCCAAAGAUGGCCAUAUCAAUAUAUCACAUCCCACAUGUUCAUCUUACAGUGGUGUGGACACUCUUCCGCUGAGAUGUGGGGUCAAUAUUCCCUCCCCUGGAGCCUGGUUAGACCUAUGUAACUGCCCUGCUAAUACAGCACAGCACAAAUAAUGUAACUUCUGAGACGAGGUCAUAAACACAUUUCACCUGGAAUCUCUCUCUUUCUCUCUCAAAAUGUUCCUUGGUAGUUCUGAGCCAGCACGUGAGAAGCCUGGCAACCUCAAAGCCUCCAUACAAGAGAGGCCCGGCAGAGAGCCAGAGAGGCUCCCACAGGUUAGCCCCCAGUUGUUUGAGUGUUCCCACCCCAGUGAUUCAAACAAGUUUAGGCUCAGCCUUCAAACCACCCCAGCUGACUCCAAGUGGAACAGAGACAAGCUGUCCCUGCAAACCCUAUAGAUUCAUGAACAGAGUAAAUGUCAUGGUUUAAGCCACUACGGUUUGGGUUGGAUUGUUACUCAGCAAUAGAUAACUGGUACACCAUAACCUGGGCAUCUCUGGUGGCUCAGUGGUAAAGAAUCCGCCUGCCAAUGCAGGAGACACAGGAGAUGUGGGUUUGAUCCCUGGCUUGGGAAAAUCCCCUGGAGGAGGAAAUGGCAACCCACUUUAGUAUUCUUUCUUGAAAAAUCUGAAGGGCAGAGGAACCUGGCGGGCUACAGCACGUAGGGUGCGCAAAGAGUUGGACACGACUGAGUACGUGUUUACACCAUAACCUAGGUUUCAGAUUUUAUAGCUAAUUUGCAGCCCCUUUUAGUUUCUGAUGGUUACAAAAUUUAAAUAUUUAUGCUGGGUGUAGCACGGAGGGGAACAAAAUUGGGUGCAGGCAUCAGCUGUGAGGUGGUUGCAGUUCCCUAAGAGGUGACAGUGACUUGAGGACUUGUAUUUCUGCUGAGGAUGAACAAUGCUUCAAGAAAACAUCACUGUCACCUUAACAAUGAGGAAUAGCCAGAUAAUCUACAAAAUCACAGCUUUUCUUGAGCCCUCAGAAAGCUGAGGUCACCAGGCAACCAAGUAAAGCCUCUUCAAGAGAGAGAGACAGACACACGAACUGUUUCAACUUUAGCAGAGCGCAGGAAACGGGUGGCUAUCUUAUAAGCAGCCAGAGGAAGAGCCUGGCCAGCAAAUCCUCUCAGACUCCACCUGAGCCCUUGGAGAGGAUGAGACAAAGAGAAAUAUUGGAUCCGAGCCCUGCACAUAACAAGUGAAAUGUAAUAAAGAACUAUGGAGCGCCUGAACACUGAACAAAAAAGGGAAGCUUGAAGGAAGGAGGAGAGGCGGGGUGGACCCCAGAAAUUAUAAACCCAUAGACCUAGAAGCUGCAAUUUAAAAAAGAAAAGGCAAUCCUGAAGAGCAGAUAUGGUGGAUGCUGUGAAAUCGGAGCAGAGAAUGUAAGCUCCAUUGUGUACUGAAUUGCUGAUAUGUCCCAAGAAUCUGGAACACUAUCCAGGGCAUAGUGGGCCUUCCAUAAAGACAGAAUUUGUUGAGAGAAUAAGCAGUGUGAACUCCUGCUGUGUGUAAGAUGCUGGACCAAGCCUGUUGAGGCAAGGAAAGUAAGUCCAGAGAAGACUUACCCGAAGUUUCCUAUAGUCCAAACCCAGCUGUUUGUGGCAGUAUGUCUAAAUUAUUCUGAGCAACUGUCUGCAAAGAAGAAGCUGUUAACCUCAAGCUGUUGUGAAAGACACCUACCUGCUUAGUAGACUUUGUUC